rnacentral:rRNA from 1 species
CCUACGGGAGGCAGCAGUGGGGAAUAUUGGACAAUGGGCGAAAGCCUGAUCCAGCCAUGCCGCGUGUGUGAAGAAGGCCUUCGGGUUGUAAAGCACUUUCAGUGGGGAAGAAAGCCUUGGGGCUAAUACCCUCGAGGAAGGACAUCACCCACAGAAGAAGCACCGGCUAACUCCGUGCCAGCAGCCGCGGUAAUACGGAGGGUGCGAGCGUUAAUCGGAAUUACUGGGCGUAAAGCGCGCGUAGGCGGUCUGAUAAGCCGGUUGUGAAAGCCCCGGGCUCAACCUGGGAACGGCAUCCGGAACUGUCAGGCUAGAGUGCAGGAGAGGAAGGUAGAAUUCCCGGUGGAGCGGUGAAAUGCGUAGAGAUCGGGAGGAAUACCAGUGGCGAAGGCGGUCUUCUGGACUGACACUGACGCUGAGGGGCGAAAGCGUGGGUAGCCAACAGGAUUAGAUACCCUUGUAGUC